UACGGAGGGGGCGAGCGUUAUUCGGAAUUAUUGGGCGUAAAGGGCGCGUAGGCGGCCCGGUAAGUCAAAGGUGAAAUCCCUCGGCUCAACUGAGGAACUGCCUUUGAAACUGUCGGGCUUGAGGCCGGGAGGGGGUAGCGGAAUUCCCGGUGUAGUGGUGAAAUGCGUAGAUAUCGGGAGGAACACCAGUGGCGAAGGCGGCUUUCUGGUCUGCUCUUGACGCUGAGGCGCGAAAGCUAGGGUAGCAAACGGG
rnacentral:rRNA from 1 species